GGGACACUAGCUCCUAAGCUUCAUGGACACCUUCUCAGGCCAUAAUCAAUUCAAAUGAUGCUCGAGCAUGAGAAGAAGAUUGCAUUUAUAACUGACAAAAUUUAUAUUAUUAUAAAAUCAUAUCUUUUGGAUUGAAAAAUAUUGGAGCUAUAUACUAGCACCUCAUUAAUCAAGUGUUCAAACACCAACCUAGGCGCAAUGUAAAGGUCUA
rnacentral:lncRNA from 1 species